AGAGCGAACGCUGGCGGCAGGCCUAACACAUGCAAGUCGAACGGAUCCUUCGGGAUUAGUGGCGGACGGGUGAGUAACACGUGGGAACGUGCCCUUUGGUUCGGAACAACUCAGGGAAACUUGAGCUAAUACCGGAUAAGCCUUUCGAGGGAAAGAUUUAUCGCCAUUGGAGCGGCCCGCGUAGGAUUAGCUAGUUGGUGAGGUAAAAGCUCACCAAGGCGACGAUCCUUAGCUGGUCUGAGAGGAUGAUCAGCCACAUUGGGACUGAGACACGGCCCAAACGUCCUACGGGAGGCAGCAGUGGGAAUC
rnacentral:rRNA from 1 species